AUUGAACGCUGGCGGCAGGCCUAACACAUGCAAGUCGAGCGAGCGGCGGACGGGUGAGUAAUGUAUGGGGACUGCCCGUUAGAGGGCGAUAACUACUGGAAACGGUAGCUAAUACAGCAUACUAUCGGCUACCCCAUAUGGGAUUAGCUAGUUGGUGAGGUAAUGGCUCACCUAGGCGACGAUCCCUAGCUGGUCUGAGAGGAUGAUCAGCCACACUGGGACUGAGACACGGCCCAGACUCCUACGGAGGCAGCAGUAGGGAAUAUUGCGCAAGGGGCGCAAGCCUGAUGCAGCCAUGCCGCGUGUGUGAAGAAGGCCCUAGGGUUGUAAAGUACUUUCGGUCGGGAGGCGUUACCUACAGAAGAAGCAACGGCUAACUCCGUGCCAGCAGCCGCGGUAAUAC
rnacentral:rRNA from 1 species